CACGUAGGGGGCGAGCGUUGUCCGGAUUUAUUGGGCGUAAAGAGCUCGUAGGCGGCUCGGUAAGUCAGGUGUGAAACCUCCAGGCUCAACCUGAGACGCCACCUGAUACUGCCGUGGCUAGAGUCCGGUAGAGGAGCGUAGAAUUCCUGGUGUAGCGGUGAAAUGCGCAGAUAUCAGGAGGAAUACCAGCGGCGAAGGCGGCGCUCUGGGCCGGUACUGACGCUGAGGAGCGAAAGCGUGGGGAGCAAACAGG
rnacentral:rRNA from 1 species